rnacentral:rRNA from 1 species
AUUGAACGCUGGCGGCAGGCCUAACACAUGCAAGUCGAACGAGUGGCGGACGGGUGAGUAAUGUCUGGGAAACUGCCCGUUGGAGGGGGAUAACUACUGGAAACGGUAGCUAAUACCGCAUACCAUCGGAUGUGCCAAGAUGGGAUUAGCUCGUAGGUGGGGUAACGGCUCACCUAGGCGACUAUCCCUAGCGGGUCUGAGAGUAUGACCAUCCACACUGGAAUUGAGACACGGUCCAGACUCCUACGUGAGGCAGCAGUGGGGAAUAUUGCACAAUGGGCGCAAGCCUGAUGCAGCCAUGCCGCGUGUAUGAAGAAGGCCUUAGGGUUGUAAAGUACUUUCAGCGAGGAGGCGUUACUCGCAGAAGAAGCACCGGCUAACUCCGUGCCAGCAGCCGCGGUAAUUC